rnacentral:rRNA from 1 species
AGGACGAACGCUGGCGGCGUGCUUAACACAUGCAAGUCGAGCGGAAAGGCCUUUCGGGGUACUCGAGCGGCGAACGGGUGAGUAACACGUGAGUAAUCUGCCCAUCGCUUCAGGAUAGCCAUCGGAAACGGUGAUUAAUACUGGAUAUGACAUUCCUUCGCAUGUUGGGGUGUGGAAAGUUUUUUCGGCGGUGGAUGUGCUCGCGGCCUAUCAGCUUGUUGGUGGGGUAAUGGCCUACCAAGGCUUUGACGGGUAGCCGGCCUGAGGACGGGUGACCGGGCCAACGACGUGGGAACUGAGACGACGGCCCAGACUCCUACGGGAGGACAGCGAGGUGGGGAAUAGUUGGAACAAGUGGGACGGAAGCCGUGGACUCCGAGACCAACGGCCGCGGUGAGGGAUGACGGUCGUUCGGGUU